CAUGGCUCAGAUUGAACGCUGGCGGAAUGCUUUACACAUGCAAGUCGAACGGUAGAGGGGGCAACCCCUUGAGAGUGGCGAACGGGUGAGUAAUGUAUCGGAACGUGCCCAGUCGUGGGGGAUAACGUAGUGAAAAUUACGCUAAUACCGCAUACGAUCUAUGGAUGAAAGCGGGGGAUCGCAAGACCUCGCGCGAUUGGAGCGGCCGAUAUCAGAUUAGGUAGUUGGUGGGGUAAAGGCUCACCAAGCCAACGAUCUGUAGCUGGUCUGAGAGGACGACCAGCCACACUGGAACUGAGACACGGUCCAGACUCCUACGGGAGGCAGCAGUGGGGAAUUUUGGACAAUGGACGCAAGUCUGAUCCAGCCAUUCCGCGUGCAGGACGAAGGCCUUCGGGUUGUAAACUGCUUUUGUACGGAACGAAAAAGCUCUUAUUAAUACUAGGAGUCCAUGACGGUACCGUAAGAAUAAGCACCGGCUAACUACGUGCCAGCAGCCGCGGUAAUACGUAGGGUGCAAGCGUUAAUCGGAAUUACUGGGCGUAAAGCGUGCGCAGGCGGUUAUAUAAGACAGAUGUGAAAUCCCCGAGCUUAACUUGGGAACUGCAUUUGUGACUGUAUAGCUAGAGUACGGCAGAGGGGGAUGGAAUUCCGCGUGUAGCAGUGAAAUGCGUAGAUAUGCGGAGGAACACCGAUGGCGAAAGGCAAUCCCCUGGGCCUGUACUGACGCUCAUGCACGAAAGCGUGGGGAGCAAACAGGAUUAGAUACCCUGGUAGUCCACGCCCUAAACGAUGUCAACUGGUUGUUGGGUCUUCACUGACUCAGUAACGAAGCUAACGCGUGAAGUUGAC
rnacentral:rRNA from 1 species